rnacentral:rRNA from 1 species
GACGAACGCUGGCGGCGUGCUUAACACAUGCAAGUCGAACGGAAAGGCCCUGCUUUUGUGGGUUGCUCGAGUGGCGAACGGGGGAGUAACACGUGAGUAACCUGCCCUUGACUUUGGGAUAACUUCAGGAAACUGGGGCUAAUACCGGAUAGGAGCUCCUGCUGCAUGGUGGGGGUUGGAAAGUUUCGGCGGUGGGGGACGGACUCGCGGCUUAUCAGCUUGUUGGUGGGGUAGUGGCUUACCAAGGCUUUGACGGGUAGCCGGCCUGAGAGGGUGACCGGCCACAUUGGGACUGAGAUACGGCCCAGACUCCUACGGGAGGCAGCAGUGGGGAAUAUUGCACAAUGGGCGGAAGCCUGAUGCAGCAACGCCGCGUGCGGGAUGACGGCCUUCGGGUUGUAAACCGCUUUCGCCUGUGACGAAGCGUGAGUGACGGUAAUGGGUAAAGAAGCACCGGCUAACUACGUG